rnacentral:rRNA from 1 species
UACGUAGGGACCAAGCGUUGUUCGGAUUUAUUGGGCGUAAAGGGCGCGCAGGCGGCGACGCACGUCCGUUGUGAAAUCGCUCGGCUCAACUGGGCGGGGUCAGCGGAUACGGCGUGGCUCGAGCAAGCUAGGGGGCAAUGGAAUUCCCGGUGUAGUGGUGGAAUGCGUAGAGAUCGGAAAGAACACCAACGGCGAAAGCACUCUGCUGGGCCGACACUGACACUGAGAGACGAAAGCUAGGGGAGCGAAUGGG